rnacentral:tRNA from 1 species
GUCUUCGUGGCGCAGUGCGUAACUCGAAUUCAUUUGACUAUGGAUCAGGAGGCUGGUGGUUCGAGCCCACCCGAGGACG